rnacentral:rRNA from 1 species
CACGAACGCUGGCGGCAGGCCUAACACAUGCAAGUCGAACGGGAUCUUCGGAUCUAGUGGCGGACGGGUGAGUAACGCGUGGGAACGUGCCCUUUGGUUCGGAAUAGCUCUGGGAAACUGGGAGUAAUACCGGAUACGGUCGAGAGACGAAAGAUUUAUCGCCGAAGGACCGGCCCGCGUUGGAUUAGGUAGUUGGUGGGGUAAUGGCCUACCAAGCCGACGAUCCAUAGCUGGUUUGAGAGGAUGAUCAGCCACACUGGGACUGAGACACGGCCCAGACUCCUACGGGAGGCAGCAGUGGGGAAUCUUAGACAAUGGGGGAAACCCUGAUCUAGCCAUGCCGCGUGAGCGAUGAAGGCCUUAGGGUUGUAAAGCUCUUUCGUGGGGGAAGAUAAUGACUGUACCCCAAGAAGAAGCCCCGGCUAACUCCGUGCCAGCCGCCGCUGUAACAC